rnacentral:ncRNA from 2 species
AACUUCCUUCGGGGCAGGGUGGAAUUCCCGAUCGGCGGUGAUGGACGGAUUGUCUUAAGCCCGCGAGCCGCAAGGCAGGAUCUAGUGAGAAUCUAGAGCCGACAGUAUAGUCUGGAUGGGAGAAGGAUGAC